CCUACGGGAGGCAGCAGUGGGGAAUUGUUCGCAAUGGGGGCAACCCUGACGGAGCAACGCCGCGUGCAGGAGGAAGGUCUACGGAUCGUAAACUGCUUUUACCGGGGAAGAGAACGGACGGUACCCGGUGAAUAAGCCCCGGCUAACUACGUGCCAGCAGCCGCGGUAAUACGUAGGGGGCGAGCGUUAUCCGGAAUUAUUGGGCGUAAAGGGCACGCAGGCGGUCCUGCACGUGGAUGGUGACAGCUCCUGGCUUAACUGGGAGAGUGCCUUCCAAACGGUAGGACUUGAGAGCGAGAGAGGGAUACGGAACUCCAGGUGGAGCAGUGAAAUGCGUAGAGAUCUGGAAGAACACCGGUGGCGAAGGCGGCCAUCUGGCCUGCAAUUGACGCUGAGGCGCGAAAGCGUGGGGAGCAAACAGGAUUAGAUACCCUGGUAGUCCACGCUGUAAACGAUGAGUGCUAGACGUCGGGGAGCUUGCUCUUCGGUGUCGCCGCUAACGCAUUAAGCACUCCGCCUGGGGAGUACGGUCGCAAGAUUAAAACUCAAAGGAAUUGACGG
rnacentral:rRNA from 1 species